CAACCCUUCCCUUUCAGCCCUACAUGGUACUAUCCUGGGCUUAAUUCGGCCAGGCUACCAUAGCUCUCCCCAACUCUCACUGGUCCUCCAUGCCACAAACUGGAACUCCACUUUUUCCCAAGGCAUGCCUACUGUAUAGUUGUCACUCCUCCCUUAGAUUAAAAACACUGAGAAAACUCAAGCCUCUUGCCCUUUAAUCUCCAUAACUACUGACAACCUCACUUACCCCCUAGACCAACGCAAGGUCCACCUCUUCCCUGGAACCCACUGUUAUAGACCCUACCUGUACAACCUCUCACUGGAGCAACUCUAGCAGGAACCCUUUCCAUCUGGGAUACAAAAUGGAAAUAUGCAGAAAUUGGAGAACUGCACUUUUCUAUCAACUUUUCCACUUGCCUUAAUGACACGGUGUCUUUUUUCAAUGCAGAACCUCUUCCUGUCUAUGUCUCCCAACAGACUGGACUGGCACCUACACGCUUGUCCUGCUUUCCCCAGGUAUAGCCCUCCUCCCAGGCAACAAACAAAUCGCAGUCUCCCUUUACACCUUAUUUGGAGCUAAAUGCGCCGUUUAACUAAUCCUUUUCCUAGUGGGACUAAACAUCACAGCAAGAGUUUCCACUGGGACCACCGGCCUAUGAGCUGCUACCCACCAGUUCCUACUAAUGUCCACCAAACUGGCCAAAGGCUUCCAGAAAGUCUCUGAUCACUUACAACUUCUACAAGACCAAGUGGACUCCCUAGUGACAGUAGUUCUCCAAAACAACAGAGGCUUAGAUCUGCUGAUGGCAGGGGAAGGCCUUUGCACUUUCUUACAGAAAACCUUCUGUUUUUACACUAACAAGUCUGGUCUGGUCUGAGAGGACAUCACCUCUCAGUGAUGAACCAGCUACUUAUCUGUGGUCCCAAAGUGAAGGAUCUUUGUUUGAUAGCCCAUGGGGACACUGGAUCCUACCCCCUUUGGCUUCCUUAUUGCAAUCCUCCUGUUGUUAACCAUUGCCUCUUGCCUCAUCUCGCACUUGUUCAUUUAAGACAGGGUAAAAAAGAUGUCAACCACAAUUGCCACCCCAUUUCUACUAAUCCCCAAAACCUUCCCAAAUGACCCUAAAGCCUGUAUAGUCUUACGAGCAUCUUACUCAUCCCACUGAGGACAACUACAACCCUGCUCAACCAGAAGCAGUUUUGGAAGACUGACCAUCUUUCCUAUCACCCCUUCCAACAAGAGUUGCAAAUGUUGGGGGGCCUAAUGUGGCCCCACAGAAACCCUCCCCUCCCUUCUCCUCCUUUCCUUUUGCGACAAAGAACACAAAUGGCCUAGCUAGCCCUGCUCCCCAAACUCCCACCACCAGAGCCCCAGCCCACUAGAAUCCUCAGUCCAGUGGUGGAAUUUUUCUAGCCCCUAUUGCCCCAUAUAAAAGUGGUCUCCAACUGUGUUCUGUGGAUGCUAUCUUUGGCUUUGCCCAGGCAGGUUUCUUUUGCUUUCAUUAAAACUGGCCUGAACCUCUCAUUUCUCUGGGCUUGUCUCUGGGUAUGAGCUAACACCCUUUCAUGUGAUCUUGAGCAUUCAACCCCCAGCUCCUCCCCUGAAGAUGGAUUGACCACAGACCUGCCGUGGCUUGAAGCAGAUGUCGGGACCGUGGGCUGACCUUUGUUGUACAGAAAAUGCUGAUCAUCACUUUGCUAGAAAAGGAGACAGGAUGUGUGAGGCCUGAUUCCUGCUCUGCAGGGAUUCUGCUUUCUCCCGAGUCCACAUGAGAAAGAAUGCCAGGGGACAGGGUGCAGGAGGUGGCCCUGUAGGGAAGAACAAGCACAGGCUGGUGGACCAGGCCUCUCCUGUGACGGCUACUGAGAGGUAAAAUUUGGAAAUUACAGAAAAUCCUGAAGAAGAAACAAAAACCACCCAUAACAUUACCACCCAGAGGAC